CUUCUCCCUCUUCCUCUCUAACCCGACGAACCUGAAUCCAUGGAGUUGGGGGAUUUGUACAAGGUAUGGGAGAUCAAGGUUCUGAAAAAGCCUGGAGAAGAGGAGGCCAAAAAGUUUAUUGUGAAGGUCGCCAAACAGGUGCAGCCCAUUAUGCGCAAGCACAAAUGGAGAGUCGAGCUUCUCUCGGAGUACUCGUGAGGUUCAUUUUUCUAGUUCUAGGUGCAUAUAAAGAGAAGAAAUAUGUUUAAGCAAAAGAAGUUCAAUGACUUGGUUUUUGUUAGAGAUAAUCAAAUGCUCAAGGAGAAGAAAAAACAGCCACAGAAGGACCCUAUUUAUUCGAAAGACACGGAGAAUGCUUCAGAUUGGCUAGUUAGUGACCCUAGUACUGAUGAGUCUUUCCUGAGGAGGGUUUGACAUGGAAAUAGUCGAUGAGGCUUUGGAGCAAGCUUCUGAUCCUAAGAGGGCCACUCGAACAACUUCUUUUGCUGGUACUUCACGGAGGGAGAUAGAGGAAGAGGAGGUAGAUUCAGAAGAAUCUCUGGAAGAAGAGGAAUAUGUUGAAAAGGGUGAUGAUUGUGAUGAUGACGGCCUCAAUUCUGAUGCAGAUGAAAUCAAUGAAGAUGAUGAUUCUGAUUCUUAUUAAUGUUUUGAUUGUCUUCUCUCUUCUUUUGUAGUAACUUUAUUGCACCAUCUUGGUUUGGACUUUAGAUAUUUGACCGAUUUUUAUUUAGUUAUGUGGUUUGUAA